rnacentral:rRNA from 1 species
CGGUAACAGCCCGGUAGUUGAAAUGGCUUUCCCUCCAGAGUGGAUCCUGAGUACGGCGGAACACGUGAAAUUCCGUCGGAAUCCGGGAGGACCAUCUCCCAAGGCUAAAUACUCCCUAGUGACCGAUAGUGAACCAGUACCGUGAGGGAAAGGUGAAAAGCACCCCGGAAGGGGAGUGAAACAGUUCCUGAAACCGUGUGCCUACAAGUAGUUAGAGCCCGUUAAUGGGUGAUAGCGUGCCUUUUGUAGAAUGAACCGGCGAGUUACGAUUUGUUGCAAGGUUAAGCGGAAAAAGCGGAGCCGUAGCGAAAGCGAGUCUGAAUAGGGCGCAUAAGUAACAGGUCGUAGACCCGAAACCAGGUGAUCUACCCAUGUCCAGGAUGAAGGUAAGGUAAUACUUACUGGAGGUCCGAACCCACGCACGUUGAAAAGUGCGGGGAUGAGGUGUGGGUAGCGGAGAAAUUCCAAUCGAACUUGGAGAUAGCUGGUUCUCUCCGAAAUAGCUUUAGGGCUAGCCUCGAGGUAAAGAGUCAUGGAGGUAGAGCACUGUUUGGACUAGGGGCCCUUCUCGGGUUACCGAAUUCAGAUAAACUCCGAAUGCCAUGUACUUAUACUCGGGAGUCAGACUGCGAGUGAUAAGAUCCGUAGUCGAAAGGGAAACAGCCCAGACCACCAGUUAAGGUCCCCAAAUAUAUGUUAAGUGGAAAAGGAUGUGGGGUUGCUUAGACAACCAGGAUGUUGGCUUAGAAGCAGCCACCAUUGAAAGAGUGCGUAAUAGCUCACUGGUCGAGUGACCCCGCGCCGAAAAUGUACCGGGGCUAAACAUAUUACCGAAACUGUGGAUGAACCUCUUUAGAGGUUCGUGGUAGGAGAGCGUUCUAAGGGCGGUGAAGUCAGACCGGAAGGACUGGUGGAGCGCUUAGAAGUGAGAAUGCCGGUAUGAGUAGCGAAAGAAGGGUGAGAAUCCCUUCCACCGAAUAUCUAAGGUUUCCUGAGGAAGGCUCGUCCGCUCAGGGUUAGUCGGGACCUAAGCCGAGGCCGAUAGGCGUAGGCGAUGGACAACAGGUAGAGAUUCCUGUACCAGUGCUAAUUGUUUAACCGAUGGGGUGACACAGAAGGAUAGGGAAUCGCACGAAUGGAAAUGUGCGUCCAAGCAGUGAGUGUGAGAAGUAGGCAAAUCCGCUUCUCGCGAAGCAUGAGCUGUGAUGGGGAAGGAAAUUAAGUACGGAAGUUCCUGAUUUCACGCUGUCAAGAAAAGCCUCUAGGAAGAGUAGUACUGCCCGUACCGCAAACCGACACAGGUAGAUGAGGAGAGAAUCCUAAGGUGAGCGAGAGAACUCUCGUUAAGGAACUCGGCAAAAUGACCCCGUAACUUCGGGAGAAGGGGUGCUCUAUUAGGGUGCAAGCCCGAGAGAGCCGCAGUGAAUAGGCCCAGGCGACUGUUUAGCAAAAACACAGGUCUCUGCAAAACCGUAAGGUGACGUAUAGGGGCUGACGCCUGCCCGGUGCUGGAAGGUUAAGAGGAGUGCUUAGCUUCGGCGAAGGUACGAAUUGAAGCCCCAGUAAACGGCGGCCGUAACUAUAACGGUCCUAAGGUAGCGAAAUUCCUUGUCGGGUAAGUUCCGACCCGCACGAAAGGCGCAACGAUCUGGGCACUGUCUCAACGAGAGACUCGGUGAAAUUAUAGUACCUGUGAAGAUGCAGGUUACCCGCGACAGGACGGAAAGACCCCGUGGAGCUUUACUGCAACCUGAUAUGGAAUGUUUGUACCGCUUGUACAGGAUAGGUAGGAGCCGAAGAGACGUGUGCGCUAGCAUACGAGGAGGCAAUGGUGGGAUACUACCCUGGCUGUAUGACCAUUCUAACCCGCCACGCUUAGCGCGUGGGGAGACAGUGUCAGGUGGGCAGUUUGACUGGGGCGGUCGCCUCCUAAAGAGUAACGGAGGCGCCCAAAGGUUCCCUCAGAAUGGAUGGAAAUCAUUCGCAGAGUGUAAAGGCACAAGGGAGCUUGACUGCGAGACUGACAAGUCGAGCAGGGACGAAAGUCGGGCUUAGUGAUCCGGUGGUUCCGCAUGGAAGGGCCAUCGCUCAACGGAUAAAAGCUACCCCGGGGAUAACAGGCUUAUCUCCCCCAAGAGUCCACAUCGACGGGGAGGUUUGGCACCUCGAUGUCGGCUCGUCGCAUCCUGGGGCUGUAGUCGGUCCCAAGGGUUGGGCUGUUCGCCCAUUAAAGCGGCACGCGAGCUGGGUUCAGAACGUCGUGAGACAGUUCGGUCCCUAUCCGUCGCGGGCGCAGGAAAUUUGAGAGGAGCUGUCCUUAGUACGAGAGGACCGGGAUGGACACACCGCUGGUGUACCAGUUGUUCCGCCAGGAGCAUCGCUGGGUAGCUAUGUGUGGCAGGGAUAAACGCUGAAAGCAUCUAAGCGUGAAGCCCCCCUCAAGAUGAGAUUUCCCAUUUCUUCGGAAAGUAAGAUCCCUGAAAGAUGAUCAGGUAGAUAGGUUUGGAGUGGAAGUGUAGCGAUACAUGGAGCGGACAAAUACUAAUCGAUCGAGGACUUAACCAAAA